rnacentral:rRNA from 1 species
CUGCCUUCAGAGGGGAAUAACGUUUGGAAACGAACGCUAAUACCGCAUAACAUUGGGAUAUGGCAUCAUGACCCAAUCAAAGAUUUAUCGCUGAAAGAUGGGCUCGCGCCCGAUUAGGUAGUUGGUGAGAUAAUAGCCCACCAAGCCGACGAUCGGUAGCCGGACUGAGAGGUUGAACGGCCACAUUGGGACUGAGACACGGCCCAGACUCCUACGGGAGGCAGCAGUGGGGGAUAUUGCACAAUGGGGGGAACCCUGAUGCAGCGACGCCGCGUGAGGGAAGACGGUUUUCGGAUUGUAAACCUCUGUCUUUAGGGACGAAACAAAUGACGGUACCUAAAGAGGAAGCCACGGCUAACUACGUGCCAGCAGCCGCGGUAAUACGUAGGUGGCAAGCGUUGUCCGGAAUUACUGGGUGUAAAGGGAGCGUAGGCGGGAAUGCAAGUUGAAUGUUUAAACUAUGGGCUCAACCCAUAGUCGCGUUCAAAACUGCAUUUCUUGAGUGGAGUAGAGGCAGGCGGAAUUCCUAGUGUAGCGGUGAAAUGCGUAGAUAUUAGGAGGAACACCAGUGGCGAAGGCGGCCGGCUGGGCUCUAACUGACGCUGAGGCCCGAAAGCGUGGGUAGCAAACAGGAUUAGAUACCCUGGUAGUCCACGCCGUAAAC